UGACAGUACUCCUACGGGGAGGCAGCAGUGGGGGAAUAUUGCACAAUGGGCGCAAGCCUGAUGCAGCCAUGCCGCGUGUAUGAAGAAGGCCUUCGGGUUGUAAAGUACUUUCAGCAGUGAGGAAGGUGGGUAUGUUAAUAGCAUAUUCAUUUGACGUUAGCUGCAGAAGAAGCACCGGCUAACUCCGUGCCAGCAGCCGCGGUAAUACGGAGGGUGCGAGCGUUAAUCGGAAUUACUGGGCGUAAAGCGCAUGCAGGUGGUUUGUUAAGUCAGAUGUGAAAGCCCGGGGCUCAACCUCGGAAUUGCAUUUGAAACUGGCAAACUAGAGUACUGUAGAGGGGGGUAGGAAUUUCAGGUGUAGCGGUGAAAUGCGUAGAGAUCUGAAGGAAUACCGGUGGCGAAGGCGGCCCCCUGGACAGAUACUGACACUCAGAUGCGAAAGCGUGGGGAGCAAACAGGAUUAGAUACCCUGGUAG
rnacentral:rRNA from 1 species